rnacentral:snRNA from 1 species
AUUGCCUCGGUAGCACAUAAAGUUGGAACGAUGCAGAGAAGAUUAGCAUGGCCCCUGCACAAGAAUCACAUGCAAAUUCGUGAAGCGUUCCGCAUUUUU